rfam:Alligator sinensis unplaced genomic scaffold scaffold573_1, whole genome shotgun sequence
UGUGUGUGGUGGGAAGGCAGUGUACUGUUAGCUGGUUGAAAAAACUGACACCAGCUAACAUGCAGCUGCUAUCCUACUGCACAAA